GACGAACGCUGGCGGCGUGCUUAACACAUGCAAGUCGAACGGAAAGGCCCUGCUUUUGUGGGGUGCUCGAGUGGCGAACGGGUGAGUAACACGUGAGUAACCUGCCCUUGACUUUGGGAUAACUUCAGGAAACUGGGGCUAAUACCGGAUAGGAGCUCCUGCUGCAUGGUGGGGGUUGGAAAGUUUCGGCGGGUGGGGAUGGACUCGCGGCUUAUCAGCUUGUUGGUGGGGUAGUGGCUUACCAAGGCUUUGACGGGUAGCCGGCCUGAGAGGGUGACCGGCCACAAUGGGACUGAGAUACGGCCCAGACUCCUACGGGAGGCAGCAGUGGGGAAUAUUGCACAAUGGGCGGAAGCCUGAUGCAGCAACGCCGCGUGCGUGAUGACGGCCUUCGGGUUGUAAACCGCUUUCGCCUGUGACGAAGCGUGAGUGACGGUAAUGGGUAAAGAAGCACCGGCUAACUACGUG
rnacentral:rRNA from 1 species